rnacentral:rRNA from 1 species
CGAACGCUGGCGGCGUGCUUAACACAUGCAAGUCGAACGCUGAAGACCUGGCUUUUGUUGGGUUGGAUGAGUGGCGAACGGGUGAGUAACACGUGAGUAACCUGCCCUCUUCUUUGGGAUAACGCCCGGAAACGGGUGCUAAUACUGGAUAUUCACUGAUCUUCGCAUGGGGGUUGGUGGAAAGGUUUGUUCUGGUGGGGGAUGGGCUCGCGGCCUAUCAGCUUGUUGGUGGGGUGAUGGCCUACCAAGGCUUUGACGGGUAGCCGGCCUGAGAGGGUGACCGGUCACAUUGGGACUGAGAUACGGCCCAGACGCCUACGGGAGGCAGCAGUGGGGAAUAUUGCACAAUGGGCGAAAGCCUGAUGCAGCGACGCCGCGUGAGGGAUGGAGGCCUUCGGGUUGUAAACCUCUUUCGCUCAUGGUCAAGCCGCAACUGUGGGUUGUGGUGAGGGUAGUGGGUAAAGAAGCGCCGGCUAACUACGUG